AGCAACACAAGAACACAAGAGAGGGAGACAUCAGGUAGAGUGGUAGAGUGGUAUGUUUUGGAGGAGGGAACGACAGACGGGGAGACUGGAGAGAGAGAGAGAGGAGAGAGAGAGAGACAGAGAGAGAGAGAGAGACAGAGAGACAGAGAGACAGAGAGACAGAGAGAGAGAGAGAGAGAGCGCACUGGAGCUCGAGUUUGCUGCCCAUAUCUGGUGCACUUGAAGGGGGGCAUUUGCUGACAGAAGCUGUUGCUAGGUCCCUGGGAGGAGCAUAGUGGAAUAGCCUGUAAGCUAACAGUGGGUGAGAAAUCAAAGUCAAAACUGGAAAGAUACCAUAUAACUUAUACCUCAGGCCAGCAUCCUCUCAACUGUCAAAGAUCAGAAUAGCUAAGAUACACACACACACACACACACACACACAUACACACAGUGGGAUGUCAUGGGAACUGUAGAUAUUCUCCCUGAAAUGAAAAUGAGUGAAACCAAACAACUCAGUUUAUGAAGGCUGAUGAUAAGAUGGGAGAACUUUUUUUUUUUUACCAUAUAAGCUGCAUGCCUAUAUUGAGCAGAUUGACCACUACACUACUCCAUUCCCCAGCUACGAGAUCCCUUGCUACUUGCCGCUUCUCUGGGCUCCAUCUUCCUGCUACCUCCUCUUCCUCAAUCCUCUCUCUUCCUCCACUCUCUAAAACCCCACCUUUCCCUUCCGCUGCCCAGUCAAAGGCUCUAGCCUUUAUUUGACCAGUUAAAUGGGAAGAAGGUUCCCUUGAAAUCACCUGAGUAUGAGAUCCACUCCUCAUCAGGGAAGCCCGUCUUUUUUUUUUUUUCUUUGAGACAGGGUUUCUCUGUAUAGCCCUGGCUGUCCUGGAACUCACUUUGUAGACCAGGCUGGCCUUGAACUCAGAAAUCCGUCUGCCUCUGCCUCCCAAGUGCUGGGAUUAAAGGUGUGCGCCACCGCACCCAGCAGGGUUGCCCCUUUUGGGGAAGCAGAAUUAACAUCAGAAUAC
rnacentral:lncRNA from 1 species